GCCGAGCGUAGACAAUUGUGACGACGAGACCGGCGCGCUUUUCGUUCACGCUUGUGAAGAUAGUAUAUGAAGAUGUAUUCAGUCAUUCACUUCAAAGAAAGUGGAGACGUUGCUGCAGUGCCAUCAUGUUGGGUUCAGGGCAACAAGGUAUUUUGGCCUCCAUACAGAAAUGCAACAAAAGUGACGUCGGCUAUCAAAAACAAAGUUGAACCGGAAGCCUACUGAACGCAGUAUUCCGGUGCUAUUUUGUCAACAACAGACAGUUACGAGGCUGCGAGGAGGCGGGAAGCCAAGGCUGAGGACCAGCUAUACGGACUAACAACGGAAGAUGAGGGGCGGCCUAAGAAGCGAAUUCGACGUCCUCCAAGGCUCAUGCAUGAAUAUUCGUCUAGUGUCAGUUCCGAAGAAAGAGAGCCGGAUGCUUUGCAAGACAGUGCCAUAAAUAAGUUCAUUAGUGGCAUACCAAGAUCUACAACUUCAGGACGAAGAGUAGACUCUUUCAUGUCAAAUCAACAGAGUUGUGCGGUCGAAGUCUCACCAGCUCCAAGUUACGAAGACCCAGCUCCGGCACCCUGCUCUCAGGCUGGAAGUCGUGACCUCCCAUCAUUGAAGAAUUUGGAAAAGAAGGCAAACACAGGAGCUCCUCAGUGCCAUCACUGCGGAAA